rnacentral:ncRNA from 1 species
CGUCCGGUUUUCGGCGGAAAAUGUUUUUAAGGGCUAGAUAGAAUAAAUACAUUUAAGAUGAUACACUUCAGACCUGAAAGACGGUUGACAAAAGUAUCCGCACCCUGCCAACGGGUUACUAGGCAGGAGGGCGAAAGUGGGUAUAAGUGAGGUGCUAGACCCCCAAAAAGUCCCCCCGAAAGGGACACAUCUACGGACUAUUAUAGUCUAUGAUGAACGACACCAAGAGUUGGCUGAUAGCGACGUGAUGAGGACACGAACAAGACCCGAAAGGGUAGCAGGUAGGGCACGCAGACGCCUGCAAAAAGUUCGUUCAAAACUUGAAAUAGUUUUGAAGUUGUAACCC